AGUACAAACAAUAGAUGUAAAGAAAGUAAAUGCAAGCAAGACUUUUAGAGUUCCCUGUCAAUAGACUAGGUACAUCUCCUUCAGGAUCGGCACCUGGUUAUAAAGAGGAAGACGAUGAUCAGAGUUUGUUACGCGAGAUAUUAUCCUCUGCGACGCGCACAUACUCCUGAUCUCGUACACUUGGGCUCAUUAAACCAUCACCGACCCAAGUCUGCUUCUGUCUUACUUCGCGUUUAUUCAGAACUCCUCUUGGGCUCAGGCCCAACAAUCUUUCAGCUCGAGAUCGAUCACCACACUUCUCACAAUCUCCACCUUGGUGUCGAGCUCUGUCUGAACCCUAGUCUCUCGCGAAGCGAUCACCGAUCCUGGUAUCUCCGGUUCCUUUGUCCUCACUCAGAACCUCUUCCGACUUCAACCUCUUCAGUGAUUGAGCCGUCGCCAUCUUUCUAACCUCCGAGAUGGGCUCUUCCCUUCAGUCGUCUUCUCAGCUCCAAAGACGACCUAACCCCGAUCUUCUCAGGCUUCUUCAAGGACGCUCAGCUUUGCUAAGCAGCCUUCAAACUUCUCCCCAGGGCAACCACCUUCUGCAACGACGAUCUCCAACUCACCGUAUUGCCUCCAACAGUGUAGACGUACCCAGUGUUCGACCUGUUUCUGUCCCUAUCUGUGCCGUAAUCAGAAUCACAGUAGCCUCUGAUCUUGAAGUCGCUGCUCUUCUUGAAAGUGCACUCAUGUAUCGACACAGGAGACCCACAGCAUAAGCAAGAUCCGGUCUCGAUCCCACCAUGGCGUACAUAAGGCUCCCAACCGCACUCGAAUAAGGUCGCGACUCCGCAACACAAUCGGAUCAAGUACAAACGAUAGAUGUAAAGAAAGCGAAUGCAAGCAAGACUUUUAGAGUUCCCUGUCAAUAGACUAGGUACAUCUCCUUCAGGAUCGGCACCUGGUUAUAAAGAGGAAGACGAUGAUCAGAGUUUGUUACGCGAGAUAUUAUCCUCUGCGACGCGCACAUACUCCUGAUCUCGUACACUUGGGCU